AUUGAACGCUGGCGGCAGGCCUAACACAUGCAAGUCGAGCGGUAGAGAGAAGCUUGCUUCUCUUGAGAGCGGCGGACGGGUGAGUAAUGCCUAGGAAUCUGCCUGGUAGUGGGGGAUAACGUUCGGAAACGGACGCUAAUACCGCAUACGUCCUACGGGAGAAAGCAGGGGACCUUCGGGCCUUGCGCUAUCAGAUGAGCCUAGGUCGGAUUAGCUAGUUGGUGAGGUAAUGGCUCACCAAGGCGACGAUCCGUAACUGGUCUGAGAGGAUGAUCAGUCACACUGGAACUGAGACACGGUCCAGACUCCUACGGGAGGCAGCAGUGGGGAAUAUUGGACAAUGGGCGAAAGCCUGAUCCAGCCAUGCCGCGUGUGUGAAGAAGGUCUUCGGAUUGUAAAGCACUUUAAGUUGGGAGGAAGGGUUGUAGAUUAAUACUCUGCAAU
rnacentral:rRNA from 2 species